GACAGAGGGUGCAAACGUUGCUCGGAAUCACUGGGCGUAAAGGGCGUGUAGGCGGGCAGGUAAGUCGGGCGUGAAAUCCCUGGGCUCAACCCAGGAACUGCACUCGAAACUACUUGUCUUGAGUGUCGGAGAGGAAAGCGGAAUUCCUGGUGUAGAGGUGAAAUUCGUAGAUAUCAGGAGGAACACCAGUGGCGAAGGCGGCUUUCUGGACGAUAACUGAACGCUGAGA
rnacentral:rRNA from 1 species